CGCGAGAGCGACUGAGUGGACACAGAGCGCGCGCGGUCUGACCACUGCUUCAUCGCGAGGAAGAGGAUGAGGAGCUUUCGGGAGAGACACGAGUUUAGGUGAUCAAGCAGGGGAGCCAGGUAAUUACCGCACACUGUCAAACACAGGGGCCAGUGACUCAAAUACAGAGUGAAUUAUCAAAGAGGAGCCUCGCGCGAGACGCCCGCCACAGGGACCGCGCGAGGAUGUGACAGCCCUAACCCCACACUACUGCUGCUGAACAACACAACCACCAAAAACACUCAGAGGCGGCGUAAAAGUGACAGUUUUACCGGAACAUUAAUUAUAAUACUGCUUACAAUGAAAAAAGUAACCAUGCAGUUGCUACCUUAAAAUGCGAUUUCUGCCCUAUUUAACACACCACUAGUUUUUUGUUGGUAUAAAUUCGUGUACACCCUUACAAAACAUUAACAAUGGUUUUAUUAUAGUAAAAGUGUAGUAACCAUGUUUUUACUUCAAAUACCAUGGUUAAACUAAAUUUGUCGCAAAACUAUGGUUAAUUUGUGGUUACCGUGGUCUAUGUGUUUUUUUGUUUUUUGUUUCCUUUGUAGUAAAACCAUGUUUAACUUUCGUAAGGGGUAUUUAGGUUGAUUCAGUGACAUUACAGAGUAUUUUGGACUUCUGUUAUGUCAGUUAAUUUAGAUGUUACAAGUUUUUUUUACAGCAGAUGUAAGCCUAUGUUAAGAUCGUAAAGAAUAAUGUAAACGUACGUGAUGACGUAUUUCCGCUCAUGUUACAGCUCCAGCUGUUGUUUUAAUCGUAAGAAUCCAAAGAUGUGACAUAUUCCACCAAAAAAAAAAAAAAAAAAAAUGCUUGUACAAUUUAUUGCACAUUUUCCUCAAAUGCAUAAUGCAGUAAUGUCACUCAGCUGGAUUUCGAGGAAUUGUAAUUUAUGUAGUCAAAAUUAAAUGAUGAGGCAAGUAAAAUAAAAAAAAUGCAAUGGCCCAGUUGGUGUGCAUAACUGUUGGAAUCUUAAUCCAGUCUGGUGGGACGCUUGAGUGUUUAACAUUAUAAACAUGCCCCCUCCUCCAGCUCAGAGGGAUACUUUACAUGUAAAUAUUCACACAGCCAAAGAGCAGCCCAUGAAUUAUUGAGAGCUGCAAAGAAGUAAAAUGUCUCUGUGUUCAAGCUCAAGAAUGGACAGAAGUGAGAAAUAUCCGAAAGAAAAGGUAAUUGGUGGAUGAAGAAAUAAAACAUAUGGUUAUUUCAAACCUCACACAUACAGAGGCACAUCUAUAGGGGUUUGUGUGUGAGGGAGAGUUUGUGUGUGUGUGCGAGUGUGAGUGUGUGUGUGUGUUUGAGAGUUUGUGUGUACAGGCCUAUAUUUGAAACUACACAGAGAAAAGUCACACGUCAAAACUUUGUCAAAGUUUCCCGGAGAGGUGAGUUGGGCUGAGUUCUGGCUGUUCUGGUCUUUGUUGUGUUCUGGCCUGUGGCUGAACACUUGACAGACUGUCAGGAGCUGAUGGGAUAUGAGUGCAGGGCACUAGAAAGCCCUUCAUUCCUGUGCUGGAUUCACCACUCCAUUCUUUAUCAAACAGGUAUCACUAGCACAGCAGAGCUAGAGAAACACAAACGGGACACACUGUAAUUAUCAUGUUUGUGAACACACUCAAAGUUGAUGCAUGAGGUUUAGACAGAAUGCUUUUCAGUGCUUAUGUACGAUGGAAUUAUGAUCUUACAAGAGUUGAGCAUUGCUAUUAUAAGGAAGGAUUCAAGAUUUAAUGUUCAUUCUCAGACUAUGUAAACAUUACAAUUCUGUUUACUCCAUGACCUCACCAUUGAAAAUGCAGAAAUGCACGACUAAUGAAAUAUCCCAGUGCAGCACAAGGCUUCCUAAUCCCCAUACUACUAAGUAAUUGUGAAUUACUGUACUAUAAUUGUGCGAGUAAACUAAAAGUCUAUUAGCAAUUUAACAGCAUGCAGAAGUCUCUCUCUCACACACACACACACACACCAGAGCAUUAAACAGACGCAAUUCACAAGUGCUCCUGAUGUCUCAGAGGACUUUUAAUAUGUAUGAGCAACAUCAAAGAGGAAUAUCCUGACAUGUGGCACCUCCAAAUGAUCAAGCUUAUUAUCACAUAUAUGCAAAUGUUUUCCAUUUGUGUUGCUCUCUGUUUGUAGAACUGCUGUGGAAAAUACAGAAGAUAGUUAGAAACACCAUUGAUGAUAUCUAGUGAGCACUACCUGCAUGUAUUUUUGUUAUUCUUGUGCACCAAGUUCAUUUUCUCUGAUAAACUCUGAAGAUACAUCAUGUGUCAUUUAUUUAUGAAGAUAUAAUUAUGAAUUGGAUUUGUGUGUUAUUUGUAAUAAAAACCUUUGAAGAGAUGCUGCAAGUAAAUAAAUGAAUCCACUGAUGACGUCCUAUUCAGAUACUCACCGUUUCUUUUUUAUACCAUAUUGUUUCAUUUGUUUCACAUUUUUAUGGGUCAUUUAAAAGGUGAAAAAAAAAAUCUCCUGAUGGGAAACAGCGCAGGCUUUUCUAUAACACUAACACAAGUGUGCUGUAACAAAAGCAUACAGCGCUGAAUUGAAUUCAAAGUGGAAAGUAUGUUUUAUUAUGAGCCUAAUUCUCCUGCCAGAUUGAUGAAUAUCACUCGUUUUCUAAAUGUGUCGCUCAGAUCUCCUGUGAUGUUUACUUUUAUUCCAUUUUAACAUUUUAUUACAAGCAUUAUAGAUGUUAUACUGUAUGCAUUUAUUAAAAAUGAAAGAACUGUCCUACACUCACCGUCUAACUUCUGGAGCCUUUUAAUAAAACGCUUGUGGUUUAAUAUGACAGAACAUAUAGACCGAGCCGACCAUGGGUUUUUUGUUGUGUAGUUAAUUUGAUAGACAUAUUCUUAAACGCCAUUUGUAAUAUAAAAAAAAAAAAAAAAAUUAGUAUAACUUUAAGAGCUCAUAUCACUCUAAGGGCAGCGUAAUAUUAUAACAAAUAUUAGUAUGAGGUUAGAUUAUCACUUUUGAAGACCAGUGGCCUUUACACAUCAUGAAUGUGAAGUCUCUUUAUAAUCAGAGUUCGUCAUUUGGUAUUGGAGCAAACGGUAAAGCGAAGUCUGUAAGUGACUUUUAGCUUUAAAUCAAUGCAAACUCCAGGCCUAAAUAAUCCAACUGUUCAGCAAAUAACCAACCUACAGAUCGGACAUUUUGGUCAAUUGGACCACAUGAAAUAAGUGUGAUUCGUUGGGACUGGCAACAAUCUGUCAAACCGCGUUUGGCUGACGGUUUCUGGAGUCGCUGUCAAACAGUCCAGCAGAACUGAUGGAAUCAUCCCUUUGUUCCUUGAUGCAGUCAGAACUGAGCCGAAUCUUGUAUUCUCCUUUAAUAGUCAGUGGUGGUUAAUUAUUAAAGGUAUGUAUUUGAAUUAUAAAUAUACUAGUUAUACAGAAGUAGGCAAAGCAGGCAUAGCGCCUCAGGCUAAAUUCUUCCAUUAGCCAUUAUUUUCCAGUCUCCUGCCUCCAUUUCCCUGCCUCCUAGUUUUAUGUCAUCUCCAAAAACAGCCAGGCAUUCCUUUGUACUUGCCAUCUCCUCCCCGCUAUGGCCACAGAAACCCUCCCCUCCAAACACAGAGCUGCUGCCGCCGCCUUGAAGUGGGGUGUCAUACCUGUCUUACAUUUAAUGAAUCGCUUUCUUCAGCGUGUCCCAGAAUUCCAGACACUCUCCUCGGAAGCUGAUGGCGGCCUCCCUCGUGUCAGCAGUCAUCCGGCGUAGAGCACAUUACCGUACAUCAUUAGCCGUGUCAGGAGCGACGCCGCUCACAGGCCACGCACGGCCCUGCAGACCCAGCCAAAACAAAGAACUUCUGCGCUCUUCUCCGGUCCGACUCUCUCUCUUCCACUCGACCAUCAUCUCUUCCACCUCUGGAUUUAUGAAUAAAAUACGACACGCUCAGAAUAAGAAGAUGGCACUGCAGUAACUGUCAAAUGCCAAGAUGAAAUAAUAAAUUCAGGUGCCUUUUUCUGCUCUGUUGAAGGAAACUUUGUUCUCUCCAAAGCUAGCUUUUUCGUCUUUGUUUCUCUCGCUUGCCAGUCGCCCGUUUAAAAAAAAUACAUUUUCCCCCAUAUUUCUGCAAUUUUUUUCUCACCUCCUUUAAGCAGUUCAGAUUCCCUUUCCAUUUGCUCGACGCUUCUCUUUCACAGCUUUCAUGUGUGAUUGAUGACAUCUGAAGUAAAAGCAGUGCGAUACUGUUUGUAUCCUCCAUCAGAACAUUCAUCUACUUCAUGCCUUUAAAUUUAAUGAAAGCGUUGGUGAAUAAGGCAUUAGUGCUGCUGUCUCUGAUUGUUCUGCUGGCUGGACAGGUUCAAACUGGGUCAAAAUCUUAGCAAUGUGUGUUAUUAAAUGUGUCAUGCCAUUAGCCUACAUCAGGGAUGGGCAACUUUGAUAGUGACAAGGGCCAGAAUUUUUUCUCAUUUAUACUAAGGGGCCAAAUUACUAAAUUCACGCAGCCUAUUAGCGGCCUAAAGAACAUUCUCAAAAAAAAAAGAGUAAAAGA